rnacentral:rRNA from 1 species
CGUUUAGGGGUAAACCUGAGAAACCCGAAAGGUCGAAGGAAGAAAUUCAUUCGCGUUUCGAGGCUAGCGGGAGUCGGUGUUGAGUGACGGCGAGCGUUUCGACGUUUACCGCGCCCUCCGACUUCGCGAACUGGCAACGAACGCGUGCACUUUUUUUCUGGUAGGACGUCGCGAUCCGUUGAGCGUCGGUCUACGGCCCACGGUGGAGCCCGUUCGUUGUCGUUUACGCGACGUACGAACGAACCCGUGAAGCUUGGCCGACCCGCUCGACGGUACAAGAACGGUUCGAGGCCGCUCUCAGGAGCGUUCGGCUCGUGACAAGCGCGUCAGACGCGUCGACGACCGGACCAUGUGCCGAUCCCGACCUCUGAUGACUGUUGGUCGCGAAGUUCUCGAACAGACCUCGUUAUCGAAAACCGAUCUGCGACGCUACAGCUUGGGUACUUUCAGGACCCGUCUUGAAACACGGACCAAGGAGUCUAGCAUGUGCGCGAGUCAUUGGGAAUCACUAAACCUAAUGGCGCAAUGAAAGUAAAGGUUUUCCUUGCGAAGACCGAGGGAAGACGGGCGGCUCGCCCUUAAAAGCGGCCGCCUCGCAUUCCCGGGGCGUCUCGUUCUCAUCGCGAGAAGAGGCGCACCAAGAGCGUACACGCUGGGACCCGAAAGAUGGUGAACUAUGCCUGGU